AGCUUGCUUCUUUGCUGACGAGUGGCGGACGGGUGAGUAAUGUCUGGGAAACUGCCUGAUGGAGGGGGAUAACUACUGGAAACGGUAGCUAAUACCGCAUAACGUCGCAAGACCAAAGAGGGGGACCUUCGGGCCUCUUGCCAUCGGAUGUGCCCAGAUGGGAUUAGCUAGUAGGUGGGGUAACGGCUCACCUAGGCGACGAUCCCUAGCUGGUCUGAGAGGAUGACCAGCCACACUGGAACUGAGACACGGUCCAGACUCCUACGGGAGGCAGCAGUGGGGAAUAUUGCACAAUGGGCGCAAGCCUGAUGCAGCCAUGCCGCGUGUAUGAAGAAGGCCUUCGGGUUGUAAAGUACUUUCAGCGGGGAGGAAGGGAGUAAAGUUAAUACCUUUGCUCAUUGACGUUACCCGCAGAAGAAGCACCGGCUAACUCCGUGCCAGCAGCCGCGGUAAUACGGAGGGUGCAAGCGUUAAUCGGAAUUACUGGGCGUAAAGCGCACGCAGGCGGUUUGUUAAGUCAGAUGUGAAAUCCCCGGGCUCAACCUGGGAACUGCAUCUGAUACUGGCAAGCUUGAGUCUCGUAGAGGGGGGUAGAAUUCCAGGUGUAGCGGUGAAAUGCGUAGAGAUCUGGAGGAAUACCGGUGGCGAAGGCGGCCCCCUGGACGAAGACUGACGCUCAGGUGCGAAAGCGUGGGGAGCAAACAGG
rnacentral:rRNA from 1 species